rnacentral:rRNA from 1 species
AGAUUGAACGCUGGCGGCAUGCCUUACACAUGCAAGUCGAACGGCAGCACGGACUUCGGUCUGGUGGCGAGUGGCGAACGGGUGAGUAAUAUAUCGGAACGUACCCUGGAGUGGGGGGAUAACGCAGCGAAAGUUGCGCUAAUACCGCAUACGAUCUACGG